rnacentral:lncRNA from 1 species
CCCUAGGCUGCGGCAAUGGUGCGAAGGCAUCAUAUUAUGAGCGACAGUUAUUCUUCUCCCCGGGUAAAUCUAUCAAGCUCUUUUUCGCUCUUUUAAUCUUGGAGACCACAAUCUUUGAGUAGUUGGAGGUAGCAGUAGCAGUAGCAUGUGUGAUCUAAUUGGUUACGCUCUUUUCUUGAGUUUGAAGAAGACUUGGUUCAGAUCAGGAGCCAUUAGACCAGGUGAAGCAUUCGGUUACUUCAAUUACAUGUUGAUUGGUCUUUGUACAGUUCGACCGUGAUUUCUUUGUAUAAACAAAUGAGUUAAUUGUUAUUGUCAUUUGAACGAGGGUGGACUUGGGUUUCAUUCGAGUUUACAUCCUUAUUCAAAUUACAUAAAUUGAAAAUUUGUUAUAUGUGUUAAUUAGAGUAUCACUCUUUGAAGUGACGUUGAAUCUUAGAUAUCGAAUUUGGAAAUUGAAGAUUUUGGCAAGAUUAAUAAAAAUCUAUCUACGAAUGAAAAUUGUGUUAGCAUUUAUUAUUGUAAUGGAUGUGGAGUAGAAUAUUUAUUGGGCUUAGUGAUACCAUCUUAAAGAUGAUACUUGGCUACCCUGGAAAAGAAGCAUUUUCUGUAUUUUCUGUUCGUAUGUAUGGACGGUAUAAUAUUUGUACUAAAUUGUAUUUAAAUGAAAU